AGGACCGUACUCUACAGGAUCUGUAUGCAGUACAUAACCAGUCUACGUUUUAUAAACUAGACACAGUUUCCGAGUCAGACGAUGACCUGUGAUAGCCCUUUCUAAGAGUGAAGUGUGCUUGUGGAUGUUUGCCCGUUUGGGCCGCCAUGAGCAGUUGAUGAUCUCGCCCGUUUCCUUUUUCCAUGGACGUGGCAAGGAAGAGGCUAUGGUCUGAUGGCU
rfam:Lichtheimia corymbifera JMRC:FST:9682, FST 9682, WGS project CBTN01000000 data, contig: SCAF00001